UGAAUUUAGGGAAAACUUCAAAAACCCCCCAUGUGGUUUCGUAGUUUCUCACUUUGCCCCCCUGUGGUUUAAAAUGUAUCAAUUUGUCCCUCUGUGGUUUUUUUUUUUUCUUUUUCUUAUCAAUUUCAUUAUUUUUUUUUUCUUAAAUCAGUGAUAAAGUUAAAAUUAAAGGGUACUAAAGUGAAUAUUUGAUAAAUCUAGAUGGAUAUCUGAAAUUUUUUGUAUAUAAUUUAAUGAAAUAUUAACGAAAAAGCUACCGAAAAAGUAAAAACGAAACUACAGGGGGGCAAUUUGAUAUAUUUAAACCACAUGAGAGCAAAGUGAGAAACUAUGAAACCACAUGGAGGGUUUUUGAAGUUUUCCCAUGAAUUUAAUCACCGUUUUUGAAAUGUGACAAAUUGUUCGCCGCUUUUUUUAAAGCAUUACAAUUAUUUUUAGUGUAAUAUUGCUAUACAUCCUUUGUAGAAAAUAUAUAAAGUUAGGGGAUUGACCUCUUUCUAAAAUAGUAAAUUAUUUAUCUUUUAAGCCUAAUUUUAUAAAUAGAAUUUUAGUUUUAGAAAAUACUAUAAUUAUAAAAAUAGUCCUCUAAAAAAUUUAUUUAUAAAAUUAAGUUUAUGCGGUGAAUGAAUCACCGUUUUUGAGAUGCGACAAAUUGUUCACUCCCUUUUUUUAAAGCAUUAUAAUUAUUUUGAGUGUCAUAAUGCUAUACAUCCUUCUUAGAAAAUAUACAAAUUAGGGGAUCCACAAUUUUCUAAAAAUAGUAAAUUAUUUAUCGUUUAAGUCUGAUUUUUUUAUAAAUAGAAUUUUGGAGGACUAUUAUUAAGGUAAACUUCAAAUACCCUUCUUGUGGUUUCACACUUUCUCACUUUAGUACCCUUGGUUUAAAGUGUAUCAAGUUAGUCCCUGUGGUUUCGUACUUUCUUAUUUUAGUACCAUGUGGUUUAAAGUGUAUAAAGUUAGUACCUUGUAGUUUCAUUUUUUUUCUUUUUAUUAUCCGUUUCACUAAUUUUUUUUGUUAAAUCAGUGACAAAGUUAAAAUUAAAGGGUACUAAGGUGAAUAUUUGAUAAACCUAGGUAGGGUAUCUGAAGUUUUUUUGUAUAUAAUUUAACGAAAUAUUAACGGAGAAAAAAAAUCAGUGACAAAGUUAAAACUAAAGGGUAUCAAAGUAAAUAUUCGAUAAAUUUAGAUAGGGUAUCUGAAGUUUUUUGUAUAUAAUUUAACGAACAAAGGAGCCGACGAAAAGAGAAAAAUGAAACCACAAGAUACUAAAUUGAUACACUUUAAAUCACAGGGUACUAAAGUGAGAAAGUGUGAAAUCACAUGGUACUAAAUUAAUACACUUUAAACCACAGUACUAAAAUGAAAAGGUGCGAAAUCACAGAAGUGAUAUUUAAAGUUUUUCUUUAUUUUUAUAAUUAGAAAGUUUAAUAGAUCUAGCAGUCCAAAAACUCAGUAUUCAGAUCUCUUUCUCGACGAGAUUGUGUAUGAAUUUGUAUCGAACAGAGAGAUUUUUUAUAUUUAAUUUAAAAGUUCGGAGGUCAUAAUAAAACUUGAGCAAAUGUUCAGAACUGAA
rnacentral:lncRNA from 1 species